AAAGACUCAAUUCCUGGGUUUCCGUAUCCAACGUUUGACCAUCCGUCUUAUUUGAAAAAAUUUAAAAAGAUAAAUCACACAUUAAGUAUUAUUUAUGUUUUAUCAUCUAACAAUAAUGAAAAUACUAAUUAUAAAAAAAAUUAAUAUAAGACGGACAGUCAAACGUUGGACACGGAAACCCAGGAAUUUAGU
rfam:Oryza rufipogon genomic scaffold, chr01